AACAGGAUUAGAUACCCUGGUAGUCCACGCCCUAAACGAUGUCUACUAGUUGUCGGGUUUUAAUUAACUUGGUAACGCAGCUAACGCGUGAAGUAGACCGCCUGGGGAGUACGGUCGCAAGAUUAAAACUCAAAGGAAUUGACGGGGACCCGCACAAGCGGUGGAUGAUGUGGAUUAAUUCGAUGCAACGCGAAAAACCUUACCUACCCUUGACAUGUACGGAAGCCACGAGAGAUCGAGGUGUGCUCGAAAGAGAACCGUAACACAGGUGCUGCAUGGCUGUCGUCAGCUCGUGUCGUGAGAUGUUGGGUUAAGUCCCGCAACGAGCGCAACCCUUGUCAUUAGUUGCUACGAAAGAGCACUCUAAUGAGACUGCCGGUGACAAACCGGAGGAAGGUGGGGAUGACGUCAAGUCCUCAUGGCCCUUAUGGGUAGGGCUUCACACGUCAUACAAUGGUACAUACAGAGGGCCGCCAACCCGCGAGGGGGAGCUAAUCCCAGAAAGUGUAUCGUAGUCCGGAUUGUAGUCUGCAACUCGACUACAUGAAGUUGGAAUCGCUAGUAAUCGCGGAUCAGCAUGUCGCGGUGAAUACGUUCCCGGGUCUUGUACACACCGCCCGUCACACCAUGGGAGCGGGUUUUACCAGAAGUAGGUAGCUUAACCGCAAGGGGGGCGCUUACCACGGUAGGAUUCGUGACUGGGGUGAAGUCGUAACAAGGUAACC
rnacentral:rRNA from 1 species